GGGCAAGUUUCCAGUCUGUGGCUCCGAGAGGGGGCGCCGGAGCCGCUGGAGGAGCGGGCGCAGCGGCCGCGCUAGGCCCGGGCGGAACUCCGGGGCCUCCGGUGCGAAUGGGCCCGGCGCCGGGUCAAGGGCUGUACCGCUCCCCGAUGCCCCGCGCGGUCUAUCCGAGACCAGGUAUGCUUCCGGGCAGCCGAAUGACACCUCAGGGACCUUCCACGGGACGCCCUGGCUAUGGGGGAACACUUCAGUCCGACCUGACUGGCCCAGUUAGGGAUGGACCAAUACCGCAAGAGACCUGCGCCUCAGCAGAUCCAGCAGGUCCAGCAGCAGGCAGCACAAAAUCGAAAUCUCAAUGCAAAGAAAAAGAAGAUGGCUGACAAAAUUCUACCUCAAAGGAUUCGUGAACUGGUACCAGCAUCCCAGGCCUAUACGGAUCUCUUGGCUUUUGAAAGGAAACUGGACCAGACUAUCAUGAGGAAACGGCUACAUAUCCAGGAAGCCUUGAAACGUCCCAUCAAGCAAAAACGGAAGCUGCGAAUUUUCGUUUCUAACACUUUCAAUCCGGCUCAGUCAGAUGCCGAGGAUGGGGAAGGGACGGUGGCUUCCUGGGAGCUUCGGGUAGAAGGAUGGCUCCUGGAGGAUUCAGCCUUGUCCAAAUAUGAUGCCACCAAACAAAAGAGGAAGUUCUCUUCCUUUUUUAAGUCCUUGGUGAUCGAACUGGACAAAGACCUGUAUGGGCCAGACAACCAUCUGGUAGAAUGGCACAGGACCACCACUACCCAGGAGACCGAUGGCUUCCAGGUGAAGCGGCCAGGAGAUGUGAAUGUAUGGUGUACUGUUCUACUGAUGCUGCAUUACCAGCCUCCCCAGUUUAAAUUAGAUCCCUGCCAGGCUCGGCUCUUGGGCAUCCAUACCCAGACUCGUCCUGUGAUCAUUCAAGCACUGUGGCAAUCUAUUAAGACACAUAAGCUCCAGGACCCUCAUGAACGGGAAUUUGUCAUCUGUGACAAAUACCUCCAGCAGAUCUUUGAGUCUCAACAUACGAAGUUUUCAGAGAUCCCUCAACGACUCCAUGCCUUGCUUAUGCCACCAGAACCUAUCAUCAUUAAUCAUGUCAUCAGUGUUGAUCCAAAUGAUCAGAAAAAAACAGCUUGUUAUGACAUUGAUGUGGAAGUGGAUGACACCUUGAAGACCCAGAUGAAUUCUUUUCUCCUGUCCACUGCCAGCCAGCAGGAGAUUGCUACUUUGGAUAACAAGAUCCACGAAACAAUAGAAACUAUCAACCAACUGAAGACACAGUGAGAAUUCAUGCUAAGCUUUGCCAGAGACCUUCAGGGUUUCAUCAAUGACUGGCUUCAGUCACAGUGCUACGACCUCAAGACAAUGACUGAUGUGGUGGGUAACCCGGAGGAAGAGCGCAGAGCUGAGUUCUACUUCCAGCCUUCGGCUCAGGAGGCCGUAUGCUGAUACUUCUACUCCAAGGUGCAGCAGAGACGACAAGUUAGAGCAAGCCCUGGGAAUCCGAAAUACGUAG